CACGGGGGAGAAGCUGAGGCUGGAGUCGCCUGUGGGGGCCGAGCCUGCAGUCUACCCGUGGCCGCUGCCGGUCUACGCUCUCCAGAUGAUUUUCAUUCACCUUAAAGUUUGAAAAUAUCUGCAUUGUCAGCUGGCCAAAGCGUCCACCAGCAGGUGAAGGGGAGUGGCGCCUGGAAAAGAUAGGGACUAGCCAAGGAAAUCCAUCUCCGUCCUUUGCGGGGGCAGUCCCGAGCUCAUGUUUUAACGGACGCGAAUGCAAACCGUGGUUCUCACGUGACUUUCUGAAGAGCCCCCGCAGCAGGCCCAGUUCCAGAAAUGACGUCUGCUGAAGGAGAACAUGUUCUAGCAAUGAAAUCUUCAAAAGGCUCCUGCCGCUGCUCUGUGACUGGGACCCCCAGGUUGUCUUUGGAAGUUUCUAAGGCCUCCUGAGUAGAGACUGGGACAUGGAAGGAGUCGAGAGGCAAAGGAAUCCCAGCAUCACCUGUAAUUUUCUGAAACUGGAGGGAAAGACAAAAGACAAGACAAAAAUUCAGUGAUGAACAAAGCCAACCAUUAAAAAGCACAUGUAAACAGUAUAUAGUUUGUGACCAGACUGUGUUCUCAAGCUGUCAGUUCCCAAGACCAGUCUGAGAUUGGCUGAGGUGGGCGAAGGGGGCUCCAAGUAAGGC